rnacentral:rRNA from 1 species
UACGUAGGGUGCAAGCGUUGUCCGGAAUUAUUGGGCGUAAAGAGCUCGUAGGCGGUCUGUCGCGUCUGCUGUGAAAACCUAGGGCUUAACUCUGGGCGUGCAGUGGGUACGGGCAGGCUAGAGUGCGGUAGGGGAGACUGGAAUUCCUGGUGUAGCGGUGAAAUGCGCAGAUAUCAGGAGGAACACCGGUGGCGAAGGCGG